rnacentral:rRNA from 1 species
GUCCACGCCCUAACGAUGUCAACUGGUUGUUGGGAAUUCACUUUCUCAGUAACGAAGCUAACGCGUGAAGUUGACCGCCUGGGGAGUACGGCCGCAAGGUUGAACUCAAGGAAUUGACGGGACCCGCACAAGCGGUGGAUGAUGUGGUUUAAUUAGAUGCAACGCGAAACCUUACCCACCUUUGACAUGUACGGAAUCCUUUAGAGAUAGAGGAGUGCUCGAAAGAGAGCCGUAACACAGGUGCUGCAUGGCUGUCGU